UCGUAAGUACUUCAUUUUUUUAAGUAUAUGUAAAUUAUUAUGGAUGUUAACUGAAUUGUCCGUAUGCUUCAUUGUCCAUAUCGUUAUAACCUAUUUGCAGAUUCACGGAUGCUACGUAUGUUGUGAGGAAACUUAAUAAAAUAAUCAAUAACUGUUGGAUGGGGCAGUAUACUAGUUGGACCACCGCUCUAAAAGAAGUAAAGGACUUAUGGUGGAAUGAGUUCAAGAUAAGUUUUGUCCUUCUAUUUUCUCACAAACUAAGUUCGGUGUAGCAUACUGAUGGUGCAUGGUAAUGGAUAUGUGACCCUCAUAAUAAGUGUACAGUUGUUUUUCUAUUGAUUGCAGCGGAAGUUCAAGUGGGAUGAAGCGGAAGAGAAAGAAGUUAGAAGAAUUUUUAAGAAGAAAGCCGGUGAUCACAUGCGAAAUGUGAUGAAUAGAGCAAAGAGAAGUCAAGAAAAGCCGGAUUUUAUUACUUCUGACAAUUGGACGGAAAUUAAAAGAACUUGGGACACCGAAAAGCAUAAGCAAAUCAGUGAACAAAAUAAGAAGAAUCGAGCUUCUAGUUCUAGUGAAGGGUCUGCCACAUAUGCUGGGGGCUCUAUCAACAUCGAGGAGCAUAGAAAAAGAAUGGCAGAUGAAUUGGGGAUGGAACCGACAUUUAUAGCUACAUUUGAAUGCACAUUUCAGAAAAAAGAUAAGACAUGGACUGGCGAUUGAGCAAAAGCUAUUAAGG